CCUACGGGUGGCUGCAGUAGGGAAUAUUGCACAAUGGGGGAAACCCUGAUGCAGCGACGCCGCGUGAGUGAAGAAGUAUUUCGGUGUGUAAAGCUCUGUCAGCAGGGGAGAAAAUGACGGUACCUGACCAAGAAGCCCCGGGUAACUACGUGCCAGCAACCGCGGAAAUACGGAGGGGGCCAGCGUUAUCCGGGUUUACUGGGGGGAAAGGGGGCGUAGACGGCAGGGCAGGUCUGGAGUGAAAGGCGGGGGGUCAACCCCCGGACUGCUCUGGAAACUGCCAGGCUGGAGUGCAGGAGAGGUAAGUGGAAUGCCUAGUGUAGCGGUGAAAUGCGUAGAUAUUAGGAGGAACACCAGUGGCGAAGGCGGCUUACUGGACUGUAACUGACGUUGAGGCUCGAAAGCGUGGGGAGCAAACAGGAUUAGAUACCCCUGUAGUC
rnacentral:rRNA from 1 species